rnacentral:rRNA from 1 species
UGAGCAACCUGCCCUUGACCCUGGAAUAACAGCUGGAAACAGCUGCUAAUACCGGAUAUGACCUCUGACGACAUCGUCUGGAGGUGGAAAGCUCCGGCGGUCAAGGAUGGGCUCGCGGCCUAUCAGCUUGUUGGUGAGGUAACGGCCUACCAAGGCGUCGACGGGUAGCCGGCCUGAGAGGGUGUCCGGCCACACUGGGACUGAGAUACGGCCCAGACUCCUACGGGAGCAG